rnacentral:rRNA from 1 species
CAGGAUGAACGCUAGCGGCAGGCUUAACACAUGCAAGGUCGAGGGGCAGCGGGAUGUAGCAAUACAUUGCCGGCGACCGGCGGAUGGGUGCGUAACGCGUAUGCAACCUACCUUAUACAGGGGAAUAACCUUUCGAAAGGGAGACUAACACCCCAUAGUAUUGAUUUAAGGCAUCUUAGAUUAAUUAAAUAUUUAUAGGUAUAAGAUGGGCAUGCGUAUGAUUAGCUAGUUGGUAAGGUAACGGCUUACCAAGGCGACGAUCAUUAGGGGUUCUGAGAGGAAGGUCCCCCCACACUGGUACUGAGACACGGACCAGACUCCUACGAGAGGCAGCAGUGAGGAAUAUUGGUCAAUGGGCGCAAGCCUGAACCAGCCAUGCCGCGUGCAGGAAAAGACGGCCUUAUGGGUUGUAAACUGCUUUUACAUAAGACUAACCGUAUAUUUGCGAAUAUACCUGAAUGUAUUAUGAGAAUAAGGAUCGGCUAACUCCGUGCCAGCAGCCGC